AGUCUUGUUAUCAUUUAACCUUUCCAGUGGAAAAAGCAGAUGUGGUCCCUGCCCAAGGAUCUUACAGGUGAAAUUUUGGUAGAUAUUAAUACCUCCACUCCCUUCUGCCAAAAAAAAAAAAAGAUGCUUGCCUGUGCUGACAAAGAAGUCCCCCGUUGUAGCGUGAGUGGCUGUGGAGUUCUCAUUCAGUCCGUACGUAAUAGUGAGAGGUCCGAGUGCAACAGGGAGAGGACAGAGCUUGCAGCUGAGAUGGCUGGAGGUGGCAGGUAGCAAGUAAGGCAGUAUUGCAGCACACAAGAGCUUUACCUAGGUGGGCCUGGCAAAGAGGGAAGAAGAUUUUGUCCAGCAGAACUAGAAAGGGAGAGUAUUCAGAGGGCUACCGGCAUUUCCAGGUUCAUACAAAAUGUUGAGAGAAAUUGUUGCUCAAAUUUUUUUUGGCUGGAAAGGCCAGGUGAGCUGGUUGCUGGCUGCUCAUGGAGGUGUCCGAGUGGCGUUGGGUGCUGGAAGUGGAGUCCUAAAGAUCUUGGCUGAGGGCGCAUCUCCAGGUGUAUCGAGGACCCAGCUAUGCGAGUACUGAGGUAGGUGAAGUUACAGGAAACUUCCUUUGGGCACGGAAGAGACCCACAGUUGGCAAAGGAAAGAGGAUGGAUGGAGCAAUGCCGGAUAACCGUAUUUCUUAAGGUGUUCCACUUAAACAAUUUGGGUCAUGGUUUUCAACAGUGCUUAUUGAAUUUCCAUGGGCUUUCCACUCCCCAGAGGUGCUUUCAGCCUCCCCACUAUGAGAGAAGACUCAACAUUUGUCACCUCUCUUGAAUCCAACGAUUUCUGACAGUAAAUAGGCAGGUAAAACACUGCGCCUGCUCAGCUGUGGCCAGGCCUGACUCCAGACUCCCACAUUUUGAAAACACCAAGGUGGCCAUUUAUCUCGGUGCAUCUCAUCAUCCGAUGCAUCUGUGCAGAGGUGGACGGCACCUCCCUCACUACCCUGCUGUUGUCUCCUUUUAAAAGUGUGUAACAGUACAGCCUGGUUCGCAUUUGGCCCCUCGCCAUUUCAGAUAUACUUGUCAAACGGCUCUCAUUUCUGAUUAGCUCCUUCUAAUUUUAUGCUGUAUACCUUCCACAAUGCACCUGUCCCUUCAAAACUGAAUUACAGCCAUGGAAAUGAGUUCUGCCAUUAAAGCAUACAUUGAAAACCAAGGAUUUUCAGCACAGAUAAUAUCGUUCUUGACUAAGUAAUCGAAAAGCUCCAAAUGCGUGUGAAAUAAAUGAAGGGUCAAACAGUGGCUGACUGCAUAGGCUGAAGAGACUGGUGUUUAGCCUUGAAACGUGCGUCUUAUUUACAACCUGGGCUGCUGGUGUAGGAACUGUUUAUCCCAUCUCACUCAGAUGCACAAAAGAUGUCGGCACCACCAGUGCCCUGCAUUCCCAAGGGGUGUUUGCAUGCAGCACUGUGCCCCUAACCUUAAGGCACAGACCUCCUUAGCCCCAUGAACCUUCAGCAGUAGGGUUAAAUAAGGUUACCACAUUGUGCCUGUUGACAUUGCAGUCCCCUGUGGCAAAGGAAACUUCUUGCUCAGAGAUGCAGUGAUAAAAUCUGGUAAUCCCAAUGCGCCUGCUGCUUUUGACCCCAUGAGGAGCCUGGCAGAUCCUAAAGCUGUGCUGCUGCUGCCAUUCCAAGUGCCCCCUCUGCAGAGUCUUCUGGCCCCGUUUCUUGCUGCAGUUUAGUGUGAGGUUUGCUUUCAGCCUUAAGGAAUUUAAGGAAUCCCUCUGGAUGGGGGGGGGGAGGUUGUCUUCCCUCUUGGCAAACCUGCCUGCUGAGUCGGUUGGUUAUUUUAGGGAAUCGAAAUGGCUGUAACUGCCAUGGGGCUUUGUCCACAAAUGGCUCUUUUUCCCUUGCUCUUGCAGGCAUCUGCUUUAUGGUUGACUUUGCUAGCAGUGGAUUUUUCCUUUAUGUGUUGGUUUCUGUCUUUGGGUUAUACUGUUCUGUGGAUCCCCACCCUUUAAAUCGUUUCUAAAGCAGCUCUCUGCAGAGUCGGAUACAGUCUUGUAGAAUAAGGCCACAGACAGAAAGAACCACAGCUCCUAGAAGCCAAUGGAAGGGGUCCUGGGGGGCUUAGUACUGGUCUGGAUCAGCUCCUUUGUUUCAUUUAGAGUCUCUCCUCCCCUACACGUGACACCCAUUACUCUUUCAGGGAAGCCCUACAACAGCCUGAUAACACUAUGCAAUGGCUCCAUACCUUUACAGAGGCUGAAGAACCACUGCUGCCUCCUGCGAGGGGCUGGCUUUCAAGGAGUGCGCCGAGGGUUGGCUUAUAACAGUUAUUUCCUUCUUCUGUGCUGCCGAGAAGAGAAUCCCUUAGCAUAUUGCUGCCAGCCAUCCUUCGAGUCGGACAGCAAAUGUGACAAUCCUGGAUGCCAGCACUGGGAAAUAACUUUUGUGACCAGAGUGAUACUUGGGUGAAGCACUACACGUAUCUGUCACCUGUUGAUCCUGAUUCUGGAGCCAAAUGGCUCCUUUGCAUCUAUGGAAACUUCAGAGGUAAGGCUUAUUCUCAUGGGCCCAAAUCAACAGAAAGUGGAGGCUCCCCUAGACUGCUUUGCACUGAGAAUUAAGUCUUUAUUAAACAACUAGCAAGAAGUAUCUCUGUCUGCUUGCAAUCAGUAUUUCUCAAUGCAGCCAAGCAGCAGUUGUAAGGCAGCUUGCAUGCCACAAGUUACAAACCAGAUAGUGGAUAUCAUUGUUAGUGUAAGAAAGGGUUUGUGCCUUCACAUGAGUAGAGGAAGGGAUCUUGUGACAGCAGAUAAACUGGCACCUCUCUCAUGUGAUGACCAGUCACUGUCUCAGCUGAAAAAAAGGUUCACCACCCAAACACCCUAACUGUGAUGGCAGGUAACUUUUCACAGUGUUACCUUUCUCAGCAGUGGCACUCAGCAGCAUUAGUAGUGGUACCUAGUAGUAAUUACGUUAAUAGUAAUGGGUCAUACUUGGGAGUCAUUGCACUCAGCAUUUCUGUCUCAUAGAAAGUGAUGAUUUUUGAACAGCGUCCAAGUUAUUCCCAAGCAUCAGAGGAUUUUCUAGGCAUUAUUGGGGGGAAAAAGAAACCUUUUGAAAACUGGAAAACCUAAUAGAGGGGGGGGGGGGGGUAACUGAUAUAUAUGUACCCAGCCCCAGGCAUGAGUGAAGGAACUGAAGGGUUAUAAAAUGUCUCUGCAUUAAAAGCAAGUAGGAGGUCAGCGUGCAAAGGGAGUGGAGGAGGGACAAAAAAUCCAUGAGAUGUGCAGAGAGCUUGGCUGAUAGGACCAACACUGCCUGUGACCUCUGAGUUAUAGUAAGGCAGGUAAGGAUUUGGCCAUAUUGAUACUGUCUUUCUAUAAAUGAAAAAGAUAAAUCCUUCAUAUUGCACUGUUUGACCUCAGUUAACCCCCCAAAAAUAAAAAAUUCUGCAUCUAAACCACAGCAUUUGGGAGUGUGCAGAAGGGAUUCCUUCUGAGAGAAGGAACGGCUGUCUGCUAUCUGCAGAAUGCGUGAUACUCGCCUUCAACCCUGACCUCAUCCGUUUGUACCGUCUCCUCCAAAACAUCAUGGAGAGAAGCUUCUCUCACGUGGCGAAUAGGUGCACUCAGGCUUCUUGCUCGGGCCCUGGGCUUGAACCCCGGCAGUGCUGUAGGACGGUGGCGACCUGGGAGAGCAUUGCAGAUUGUGACCUAGCGAGAGUUGUCAGAGCAUCCGACUGCUUUACGAUGGCCGUGGCAUCUGUUUCUUUCUUGGCAGUUGCAGAGUUUACCUAGGCCAAGUGCGUGAUCUGUUGCAAGUGACAUCUUGCCUCAAGUCCUGUUACAAAUCCACAUUUCUGUGACAGUGUCCCCGGUGCCAACCACGACUUGUUUUGCCUCUGCUUACUUUUGAAGAGAGAAGUGCCAGGCACACAGAGGAUUUUCUCAGCCUUCCAGGAUUGGAUCCCUGGCUCUUGGCCUCCUGGUACCUGAUGAGGUGGCUUCUGGCAGUAUCAGCUCCUUGGCUUCGUUUCACUAAAAAAAAUAAAAUGUAGUCCUGGGAAGGAAAGAAAGCAAGAAGCGGGAUCUUUGCUCUGGGCUCCUUGUCGUCUUUGGGUGAACGAUCCGGUAUAUCAUCAUUAGUCUGGGAAUUUUUCCCAGUUAUUUGACAGAGUCCUGGCCCAAGGCCUGUGGAGGUUGUAACCUACAGAAGAGGUCUGGCGCAGGGGACUGGCAGUCUUUCGGGGCUCUUGUCAUUGCAGAGCCCCUAUUAGGAGCCAUGUGUAACACGGGCUCUGUCUAUGCAUCUGUAAAAUGGGUAUGAUUAAGGUGGGGGAUGCUAAUUGGAGCUCUGUGCUCAACUGUGAGCAUGUGGUGGGGAGAGGAAUGAGAAAAUUGACUUUUCCAAAGGGUACGCUAGUCUCGAUGGAUGCUCCUUACUUUAGGAUUCAUUCAAUUGUCCCUCGAGAGUUUCCUCAUCCCGGAAAUUUAGGCCAUUGCUGUUCAGUCCCCACUGGGACACCUCCACGGUGGGCUUGUUUUCACCCUCAGCUAGUUAUUUCUGUUCUGUGACCUGGGUGCAGCGAGGCAGGUGGUUGCAGUGUUGUUGUGCAGAGCAUCAUAGUUGGGAGUACAAUCUGUACAUAAGGAAGAGCAGCCAGGAUACAGUUAGAUAAAAGGAAACAGCUUGCCAGGAAGCAGAGGGCCAGAAGACUUUUCCAUGCGGCUUUUUGUUCUUGCCCAGUGCAGAAGAGGAGGAAUGCCCCCCAGGGGAUACCUGCCUGUAAUCGCACCCUGCAGAGCAGAGCAGCAGGUGAGGCAGAGGCAGGUGGGUGGGCAUGUUGAUUUGCAAACGCUGCUGCCUGGCAUCUGCUCGCCAGAACCCCUGACGCAAGUGCGGAGGAGUAAUAGGAUGGCACCCAAAAUCAAAAGGGCUUGACAGAUGGCUGCGCUGACAGGGCUUAUAGGUUGUCACUUUGUUUUCCCACCUCCUUAUCUAUCUCCUGAGAGAAAUUGUGUGCUGCCGGUGUGGUGUUUGCCUUGGACGGAGCAACAACACAGAAAGCAGCAAGGAACCUUUGCCAGUAAACAUCGAACAAGCCUACGUCAGUCCUUGUUCUCUGCCCCGAUUGCCCAAUAACAGGGAAGGCUGUCUUGCUUUUGUUUGUCAGAAAGCACUCCCAUAUGCCUCCCCCCCCUUCCCCAAACCCUUUCCCACUUGACUCCCAUCGGCUGUGGUGCUUGGAGCUACAGCCCUCCCCAGGCGAGUCUCUGCAAAGGAGAGUGAGUGCAUUAUCCAUGUUUAACAGCUGGGGAGGUGAAAGCACAGACAAAUGGAAGUGCUUGUCCACAGCUGCACAGCAGGUUAGUGUCCGAGCCAACUCUACAGCGCGGCAUUCUCGCUUGCCGGCCCGGUGAACUACACUGCCUUCCUGAAUCCAUUUCUGGCUUUCUGCAUUGCAAGCCACUAGACCCAAGGCAAGCUAGAGCAGCCGUGCUGCUGGUGCAUCAUUGUCAUCGUUGCAGGGUCGAAUUGAGUGGGGAGCACUCACAAAGUGACAUUUGCCGGGCGCAAGUCUCUGUUAUCUCCUCAGCAUGAUCAGGAUGAGCAGGGUGCUCAACUUCACAGCACCUCCUGCCAGAUCCCUGCCGGCUGCUGUCCAGACAGGAUAUAUUCCUCCCUGGCAUGUUUUCAGACUCCAAAAAAACAAAAUAACAGUUAUGGUAAUUGGGAGAGAACAGGGAUCCCAGUGGUGACCGAUGAAUGAAUGGGCAUUUGGAAAGCGUCCUCUUAAAAUUGCUACCGACAAGAACGUCACUGACUAGUGCGGCCUGUUUGAGACACCCAUGCUAUUGUGUGUUGCCAUUAGACCUACUUCUUCUCAGGUUUAAAACCAAGGCAAGACACCCCGCUUGUCAGCACUGUAUCUCAGACCCUCGUGGGGAAAAUAUCUGGUAUUCCUUAGCUUGGUGCUGAGGUUUCCUUCUGGCUACAAGGUGCAGAGGCACUACCUGGGCUGACCCCAACUUCCUCUUUGUUGAACAGAUGCUCAGGGAGAGGGUUGCUUCUGGGACAGGAGGAAGUGGGAAUGCCUGGGGAGAGCAGAGCUCCCUUUGUAGUCUUGGAUGGCCAGACAGAUUGAUUCCCAUGGUGGAGAUAGAUAACUACCUUGCGUAUGUUAAUUUUACCUUUUGAUUUGUGUCCAAGCUCAACGCACCGUUCUGCAUUUUGCUGCUCCUCGGUCGUCAUCUGUCUGGUUCAAGAAUGGAUCUUCUUUUUCCAAUGUCUGUCAGCAUCUGUACUAUAUGCCCCCGUCUUUGCCCUUGGAGCAGAAUGCAUCUCCCUAAGGUAGUUCCAGUGAUAUCCAGAGCCUUGUUUUACUGGAAGAGAGAAGUUGCCCUUGGGUUUGUGAUGAGAAUUGACUGUCAUGUACAUCAAGCCUAAAAUACCUGAUAUUAUUUGAUAGGAAUUGAGGGAUAUUGCCAUUGCCAUACUGGAUAGGAAUAGGCGUCCUUUUACAACAGUGUUUUUGUCUGGGAUGACACAAAAAAACCUUUCAGUGUCAAAGAAAUCAAGGCAUAGUUUUCAUCACCCAGGGAGGCAGCUGUAGCUGUGCCGUGAAAAUAGGGCUCCAUGGCUGGCCUUACUUUUUGACUCCACUGUAAAUCAGAAGAGAAGAGCAGUAUUUGACUUCCUUGUAGGCCGUUCUGUGUUGACUAUAUGUAAUGACACAGUUUCUCGUUUGCCUUCGAAAAAUCCUUUGGAUGCUGAGAAAUAAACCCUUGGUCCACGA